AGUGAACGCUGGCGGUAGGCCUAACACAUGCAAGUCGAACGGCAGCACAGUAAGAGCUUGCUCUUACGGGUGGCGAGUGGCGGACGGGUGAGGAAUACAUCGGAAUCUACUUUUUCGUGGGGGAUAACGUAGGGAAACUUACGCUAAUACCGCAUACGACCUACGGGUGAAAGCAGGGGAUCUUCGGACCUUGCGCGAUUGAAUGAGCCGAUGUCGGAUUAGCUAGUUGGCGGGGUAAAGGCCCACCAAGGCGACGAUCCGUAGCUGGUCUGAGAGGAGGAUCAGCCACACGGGAACUGAGAGACGGCCCUGACUCCGACGGGAGGCAGCAGUGGGGAAUGUUGGACAAUGGGCGCAAGCCUGAUCCAGCCAUACCGCGUGGGUGAAGAAGGCCUGCGGGUGGUAAAGCCCUUUUGUUGGGAAAGAAAAGCAGCAGGUUAAUACCCCGCUGUUCUGACGGUACCCAAAGAAUAAGCACCGGCGAACUUCGU
rnacentral:rRNA from 1 species